UAUGCAUUUGUUGAGUGCAAAAACUUAAUUGCUGACGUUGGGGAUAUGAUGAGCGUCCAAGUGAUUGUUGAAGGAUCAAUGAAUAGUUCGAACCCCUACUUCUCAAGCUCUUGGCGGCGGGACUUCGCUGGGGGUUUCAUUCUGGAUAUGGGCGUACACUUCAUUGCUGGAUUACGGAUGGUAACUGCCUUUGAAACUUUUUUCCUGUGAGAAAAAUAUUUGAGUUCUAUCCUAAUGGCUAUCACUUGCCCACUGAUUAACCAUUACUGUUUCUGCUCUUCUUU